rnacentral:misc_RNA from 1 species
CUAACGUCGUCGUUCUGCAACCCCUAACUGUAACGUCAUUUCAAUGGCUUCCUGUAACGACGAUUUCUCUCUCCUCGGGGACGAUAACCACCACCAAACCAACCCUAACCACCAUCGCCACCACCACAUCCUCCACCAGACCUAUGCGCCUCAUCGAUUCCCUGUAAAAUCAGCUCCGAUCCACGCGCCACCUCAGCCGGCAGCCGAUAUUACCUUCUCCCGUCGCCGGAUCUGGAACCGGCGCCAAGAAUCUUGGAAGCGGCGUAGAAGAAGCGGAAGAACAAGUAGUAGAAGAAGAAGAAGAAGAAGAAGAUUCAGCUUUCCCUGAGGUGAAUCCUUUCAGUGACAAUUCAAAUCCUUUCAAUAACGAGACAAAUGUACGGCCUGAUAAGAGAAGAGAAGGAGAAGAUCACAGCGA